ACGAACGCUGGCGGCGUGGAUAAGACAUGCAAGUCGAACGAGAGAGUUGCUAGCUUGCUAAUAAUUCUCUAGUGGCGCACGGGUGAGUAACACGUGAGUAACCUGCCCCCGAGAGCGGGAUAGCCCUGGGAAACUGGGAUUAAUACCGCAUAGUAUCGAAAGAUUAAAGCAGCAAUGCGCUUGGGGAUGGGCUCGCGGCCUAUUAGUUAGUUGGUGAGGUAACGGCUCACCAAGGCGAUGACGGGUAGCCGGUCUGAGAGGAUGUCCGGCCACACUGGAACUGAGACACGGUCCAGACACCUACGGGUGGCAGCAGUCGAGAAUCAUUCACAAUGGGGGAAACCCUGAUGGUGCGACGCCGCGUGGGGGAAUGAAGGUCUUCGGAUUGUAAACCCCUGUCAUGUGGGAGCAAAUUAAAAAGAUAGUACCACAAGAGGAAGAGACGGCUAACUCUGUGCCAGCAGCCGCGGUAAUACAGAGGUCUCAAGCGUUGUUCGGAAUCACUGGGCGUAAAGCGUGCGUAGGCUGUUUCGUAAGUCGUGUGUGAAAGGCGCGGGCUCAACCCGCGGACGGCACAUGAUACUGCGAGACUAGAGUAAUGGAGGGGGAACCGGAAUUCUCGGUGUAGCAGUGAAAUGCGUAGAUAUCGAGAGGAACACUCGUGGCGAAGGCGGGUUCCUGGACAUUAACUGACGCUGAGGCACGAAGGCCAGGGGAGCGAAAGGGAUUAGAUACCCCUGUAGUCCUGGCAGUAAACGGUGCACGCUUGGUGUGCGGGGAAUCGACCCCCUGCGUGCCGGAGCUAACGCGUUAAGCGUGCCGCCUGGGGAGUACGGUCGCAAGAUUAAAACUCAAAGAAAUUGACGGGGACCCGCACAAGCGGUGGAGUAUGUGGCUUAAUUCGAUGCAACGCGAAGAACCUUACCUGGGCUUGACAUGUAAUGAACAACAUGUGAAAGCAUGCGACUCUUCGGAGGCGUUACACAGGUGCUGCAUGGCCGUCGUCAGCUCGUGUCGUGAGAUGUUUGGUUAAGUCCAGCAACGAGCGCAACCCCUGUUGCCAGUUACCAGCACGUGAAGGUGGGGACUCUGGCGAGACUGCCCAGAUCAACUGGGAGGAAGGUGGGGACGACGUCAGGUCAGUAUGGCCCUUAUGCCCAGGGCUGCACACGUACUACAAUGCCCAGUACAGAGGGGGCCGAAGCCGCGAGGCGGAGGAAAUCCUAAAAACUGGGCCCAGUUCGGACUGUAGGCUGCAACCCGCCUACACGAAGCCGGAAUCGCUAGUAAUGGCGCAUCAGCUACGGCGCCGUGAAUACGUUCCCGGGUCUUGUACACACCGCCCGUCACAUCAUGGAAGCCGGUCGCACCCGAAGUAUCUGAAGCCAACCGCAAGGAGGCAGGGUCCUAAGGUGAGACUGGUAACUGGGAUG
rnacentral:rRNA from 1 species